UAUCACAGAUGCAAUACAGUGAGCUGUGAUAGUCUUGUGAAAUCUUGUUUAGAAUACGAGAUGCUGCUUCAUGCAGAAACAAACCUGCUGGAUUCAUUACAGCUUCAUAUGGAACAUCUACAGGUCUGAAGCCUGAUGCACCACUGACCUCACAUCAGCUUUCCGCAUUGAAUUCCUGUCAGACAAGGCCCAGUUCGACACUGGAUUUGCACAUUGUUUGAUACUGAAAGAUGGAGCGGUCCCAGCGAUAAAAGAUCCCAGUCAUGAUUCAGAAGCGCAGACGAAGCGGCCCAACGUCGGUGAACUGGACGAAGAGCUGGCGUCUCUCCGACAUCUCCACCAUCAAUCAGAUGAUGGUGAACGUGCUGUAAAUAGCAAGUGCUCUGCUGUUCCCUCCUGAAGAAUGGAGGGUG